UGCCAGACUCCUACGGGAGGCAGCAGUGGGGGAUAUUGCACAAUGGGGGAAACCCUGAUGCAGCGACGCCGCGUGAGUGAAGAAGUAUUUCGGUAUGUAAAGCUCUAUCAGCAGGGAAGAAAAUGACGGUACCUGAUUAAGAAGCCCCGGCUAACUACGUGCCAGCAGCCGCGGUAAUACGUAGGGGGCAAGCGUUAUCCGGAUUUACUGGGUGUAAAGGGAGCGUAGACGGCUGUGCAAGCCAGAUGUGAAAGCCCGGGGCUCAACCCCGGGACUGCAUUUGGAACUGUGUGGCUGGAGUGUCGGAGAGGCAGGCGGAAUUCCUAGUGUAGCGGUGAAAUGCGUAGAUAUUAGGAGGAACACCAGUGGCGAAGGCGGCCUGCUGGACGAUGACUGACGUUGAGGCUCGAAAGCGUGGGGAGCAAACAGGAUUAGAUACCCCCGUAUUU
rnacentral:rRNA from 1 species